rnacentral:rRNA from 1 species
AUUGAACGCUGGCGGCAUGCUUUACACAUGCAAGUCGAACGGUAACAGGUUAAGCUGACGAGUGGCGAACGGGUGAGUAAUGCAUCGGAACGUGCCCGAUCGUGGGGAAUAACGCAGCGAAAGCUGCGCUAAUACCGCAUGCGAUCUGAGGAUGAAAGCGGGGGACCGUACGGCCUCGCGCGAUCGGAGCGGCCGAUGUCAGAUUAGGUGGUGGGUGGGGUAAAGGCCCACCAAGCCGACGAUCGGUAGCUGGUCUGAGAGGACGACCAGCCACACUGGGACUGAGACACGGCCCAGACUCCUACGGGAGGCAGCAGUGGGGAAUUUUGGACAAUGGGCGAAAGCCUGAUCCAGCAAUGCCGCGUGCAGGAAGAAGGCCUUCGGGUUGUAAACUGCUUUUGUACGGAGCGAAAAGGUCCUUUCUAAUACAAGGGGCUCAUGACGGUACCGUAAGAAUAAGCACCGGCUAACUACGUGCCAGCCGCCGCCGUAACAC